rnacentral:rRNA from 1 species
GACGAACGCUGGCGGCGUGCUUAACACAUGCAAGUCGAACGGAAAGGCCCUGCUUUUGUGGGGUGCUCGAGUGGCGAACGGGUGAGAAACACGUGAGUAACCUGCCCUUGACUUUGGGAUAACUUCAGGAAACUGGGGCUAAUACCGGAUAGGAGCUCCUGCUGCAUGGUGGGGGUUGGAAAGUUUCGGCGGUUGGGGAUGGACUCGCGGCUUAUCAGCUUGUUGGUGGGGUAGUGGCUUACCAAGGCUUUGACGGGUAGCCGGCCGGAGAGGGUGACCGGCCACAUUGGGACUGGGAUACGGCCCAGACUCCUACGGGAGGCAGCAGUGGGGAAUAUUGCACAAUGGGCGGAAGCCUGAUGCAACAACGCCGCGGGCGGGAUGACGGCCUUCGGUUUGUAAACCGUUUUCGCCUGGGACGAAGCGUGAGUGACGGUAAUGGGUAAAGAAGCACCGGCUAACUACGUG